GCACUGGCAAAAUCCGGUGCCGGGGUUGGUCUCCCGCAAACAACAGGCGUAUAUACGCCAGCUUUCUGCUGGUUUUUU
rnacentral:sRNA from 1 species